GGCCCUACGGGGUGCAGCAGGCGCGAAAACUUUACAAUGCGGGCAACCGUGAUAAGGGAACCUCGAGUGCCUGUACAUGCAGGCUGUUCGGGUGUCUAAAACACACCUGAAGAAAGGGCCGGGCAAGACCGGUGCCAGCCGCCGCGGUAAUACCGGCGGCUCGAGUGGUGGCCACUUUUAUUGGGCUUAAAGCGUUCGUAGCUGGGUUGUUAAGUCUCUUGGGAAAUCUGACGGCUCAACCGUCAGGCGUCUAAGGGAUACUGGCAAUCUUGGAACCGGGAGAGGUGAGGGGUACUUCGGGGGUAGGAGUGAAAUCCUGUAAUCCUCGAGGGACCACCUGUGGCGAAGGCGCCUCACCAGAACGGCUUCGACAGUGAGGGACGAAAGCUGGGGGAGCGAACCGGAUUAGAUACCCGGGUAGUCCCAGCUGUAAACGAUGCAGGCUAGGUGUUUGGACGGCCACGUGCCGUUCUAGUGCCGCAGGGAAGCUGUUAAGCCUGCCGCCUGGGGAGUACGAUCGCAAGAUUGAAACUUAAAGGAAUUGGCGGGGGAGCACCACAAGGGGUGAAGCUUGCGGUUUAAUUGGAGUCAACGCCGGAAAUCUCACCG
rnacentral:rRNA from 1 species